rnacentral:lncRNA from 1 species
GCUCUGAAAACUGCGGAGACAUGUUAGUUGAAUUUGGGAUAUAGGUACGUAAAAACGUUAAUUAUGAAGUAGAACAGCUAUUUUAGUGCUUCUUAACCUAAUGCAGAAAUUGUUACGACUACUAAAAUAUUUGUUAAAAUAUUGAGAACGAAAAUCGGCCUUUACUGUAUCGUUGUGUCGAGCUGCUUAGUGCUUAGUGUUGUGUUUGGCCAUGCACAACACUGAAGCACAUGUUGUAUUCCUUAAAAACUAGUGAAAUUGAUUAUUAAUAUGAAAGGUACUACCAAAAAAAAAAAAAAUUAUGUUGUAUUUAGGGUAAUAAAUUAAAUUUAUGCAAUAGGUGUUGACUCGGGUUGCAUAUAUGAUUACAUAAACUUUUGACCAAUGAAAUAGAGAGAGUUGACUUUAGAAAAAGCAAAAUAAAGAAAAAAAUAUGAUUUUGGAAUCCCGAAUACAAUUGUCUUGUGUGUUCAAAAAGUUGGUAGCAAAGCCAUUGUCUUCUUUGGUAUGAGGCAAGAGAAACAAUUCAGUAGAAUCUUGAUAAAUUAAUACUCGAUAAAUUAAUAACAUCGCUUAAAUAAUAAUUUCUUACAGUCCGGACUCGGUGAAAAUGCAUUAAAUUAUUAGUUCAAUAAUUUAAUAUUUCGUUAAAUUAAUAGAAUUUUGUCCUGAUUGUAUUAAUUUAUAGAGGUUUAAUUACUGCUAUUUGUAUUUGUUCUAAGUUAAGACAUGAGAAAUUAAUUUGGAGUAAAAUUCACAUUACUCGAUUUUUAUUUGGUUACAACGUCUUUGAGAAGGAUUACGUUCUUCCCCCGAACAGUGUUCCAUUAUAAACUAAACUGUAGUUACAUUGUCCCAAUCAUACAUUUUUUGCCAGCUCGUUGGAUUACCGGAGCCACUAAAAUAUAUACCGUUUUGCCUUGCCUCCCAAUUGCACACGCCAUUUGUGCAUCUCGAAGACAUUUUUUCUGUGAAAGCAUCAAACUUUUUCUCCUUUGGACCGAGUCUUGAAUUCCACCAGAAAUGGCAAAAGUAGAGAGUAGUCCCCCAAAUAUUAUCGCAGAAAUUCCAUUUGAAACCAUUAGAUACAUACAGCUUAUGGUAACCGAGAUCGUCAUCCCCAGAUGCACAAUGCACUUUCAUCGGGAUAUUUGACCAUAUGGGAAGAUAAUUUGUGAUGCGGACCUCGUAUUUUGUGGUAAGGAAACAAUUCUGUUCUUCUAUGGCCGUAGCUUGGAGAAAGAAUA